GACAUUGUUUCCCGCAGUCAGAGCGCUUUCAUCAAGUCUAGAACUAUCCACGACAAUUUCUUGUACGUCAGGAACACCGCCCGCCGGUUACAUCGCUGCAAAACUCCGUCACUUCUGAUCAAAUUGGACAUCGCCAAGGCCUUCGACACUGUUCGCUGGGAUUACAUGCUGGAUCUUUUGCAACGCCUCGGCUUUCCUCAAAGAUGGCGGGCCCUCCUGACGACUCUCUUCACCACGGCCUCCUCUAGGGUUUUGCUCAACGGAAUCCCUGGGAGGGACAUCAUGCAUGGACGGGGUUUUCGUCAGGGUGAUCCCCUCUCGCCCCUCCUGUUCGACAUC
rnacentral:rRNA from 1 species